CGUUAGCUUAGUGCAAGCUACACACAUCGGACUUUCAAGCCGAAGACACCAACUGAUGGUAGCUAACU
rnacentral:tRNA from 1 species